ensembl:lncRNA
GUGUCUAUGCAUAAGUGAGUGCAAACAUUUAAAUAUUGCUUGACUUCAACAGCAAAACUUACUGUUAACACUGUCUGUCUGGCUCUUUCUGUAAAUGCUGAAGAUGAUGAGUUCUCUAAGUCAGGUGUAAAUGUUGCUCCAACAUCUCUGAACUGCAACUGCUUUGUUGUAACAGCCUCAAUAGUUGUAGUUCUUACAGCUGUAGUGGUUGUAGGAGUAACUGUGGAUGCGUUUGUUGGGGUAGUGAUGAUUGGUGUUGUAGCAUUCACAGGUGUAGUUGAAGCUGUUGUAGACACUGUAGUUGUAUUUGUUCCUGGUGUGGUGUUUGUAAGAUUUGCUAUGGUUGCGUUUGUAGGGGUAGUCAUCAUUGGUGUUGUAGCAUUCACAGGUGUAGUUGAAGCUGUUGUAGACACUGUAGUUGUAUUUGUUCCUGGUGUGGUGUUUGUAAGAUUUGCUAUGGUUGCGUUUGUAGGGGUAGUCAUCAUUGGUGUUGUAGCAUUCACAGGUGUAGUUGAAGCUGUUGUAGACACUGUAGUUGUAUUUGUUCCUGGUGUGGUGUUUGUAAGAUUUGCUGUGGUUGCGUUUGUAGGGGUAGUCAUCAUUGGUGUUAUAGCAUUCACAGGUGUAGUUGAAGCUGUUGUAGACACUGUAGUUGUAUUUGUUCCUGGUGUGGUGUUUGUAAGAUUUGCUGUGGUUGCGUUUGUAGGGGUAGUCAUCAUUGGUGUUGUAGCAUUCACAGGUGUAGUUGAAGCUGUUGUAGACACUGUACUUGUAUUUGUUCCUGGUGUGGUGUUUGUUAGAUUUGCUAUGGUUGCGUUUGUAGGGGUAGUCAUCAUUGGUGUUGUAGUGCUCACAGUUGUAGGUAAAACCACU